UACGUAGGGUGCGAGCGUUAAUCGGAAUUACUGGGCGUAAAGCGUGCGCAGGCGGUUCGUCGUGUCCGAUGUGAAAGCCCCGGGCUCAACCUGGGAAUGGCAUUGGAAACUGGCGGACUCGAGUGUGGCAGAGGGGGGUGGAAUUCCGCGUGUAGCAGUGAAAUGCGUAGAGAUGCGGAGGAACACCGAUGGCGAAGGCAGCCCCCUGGGCUAACACUGACGCUCAGGCACGAAAGCGUGGGGAGCAAAAGGG
rnacentral:rRNA from 1 species